rnacentral:rRNA from 1 species
UACGUAGGGUGCGAGCGUUAAUCGGAAUUACUGGGCGUAAAGCGUGCGCAGGCGGUUUUGUAAGUCAGAUGUGAAAUCCCCGAGCUCAACUUGGGAACUGCGUUUGAAACUACAAGACUAGAAUAUGUCAGAGGGGGGUAGAAUUCCACGUGUAGCAGUGAAAUGCGUAGAGAUGUGGAGGAAUACCAAUGGCGAAGGCAGCCCCCUGGGAUAAUAUUGACGCUCAUGCACGAAAGCGU